rnacentral:sRNA from 1 species
AGUAUGGUAUAAAAAUAUAGCAGAGAAGUUUAAUGACGGUUGGCAAAUCCAAUUACAAGGGAAGUGGUCGCCUAUGGGGGAUACACAAGCUCUGAGUGAAAGGAGAGGCCUGUUUGUCUGAUGUAGAUGCGAUCAGCCUCAUGCUAACGUUUGGCAGCUUUGUGCUGCUGCUCAUUGG